rnacentral:rRNA from 1 species
CACGUAGGGUGCGAGCGUUGUCCGGAAUUAUUGGGCGUAAAGAGCUCGUAGGCGGUGUGUCGCGUCGGCCGUGAAAACCUGCAGCUUAACUGUGGGCUUGCGGUCGAUACGGGCAUCACUGGAGUUCGGCAGGGGAGACUGGAAUUCCUGGUGUAGCGGUGAAAUGCGCAGACAUCAGGAGGAACACCGGUGGCGAAGGCGGGUCUCUGGGCCGAUACUGACGCUGAGACGCGAAAGCGUGGGGAGCAAACAGG